rnacentral:rRNA from 1 species
UGGCUUGGAAGCAGCCAUUCAUUUAAAGAGUGCGUAACAGCUCACUAGUCGAGCGAUCCCGCGUGGAUAAUACACGGGCAUAAAACUGUCAACCGAAGCCGUGGGGUUAGCUUUAUUGCUAACCGGUAGGAGAGCAUUCCUGCCAGCUUUGAAGGUCACCCGCGAGAGUGACUGGAGCGGCAUGAAAAGCAAAUGUAGGCAUAAGUAACGAUAAUGGGGGCGAGAACCCCCCACGCCGCAAGACCAAGGCUUCCCCGGCAAUGUCAAUCAGCCGGGGGUCAGCCGGCCUCUAAGGCUAACCCGAAGGGGGACGCCGACGAGAAACGGGUUAACAUUCCCGUGCUUCUCGUCACCGUGACGCGGUGACGGGGUGAUGAAUGGACCGCGCGCAGACGGAAUAGCGCGUUGAAGGCCGUACCCUUUGAGGGUGGUAGUCAAGCACGCCACCGGAGGCGACAGCCGAUAGUACCUCGAGGCCUCGGCCGAGGGGAUAGCGUCCAGGCAAUUAACCCCCUAGAAAACCCGCUAAACUUCAAGUGACGAGGAACCGUACCGUAAACGGACACACGUGGUCGGGUAGAACAUACCAAGGCGCUCGAGUGAUUCAUGGUCAAGGAACUAGGCAAAAUAGUCCUGUAACUUAGGGAUAAAGGACGCUCUAGUGAUAGAGCCGCAGAGAAAUGGCCCAGGCGACUGUUUACCAAAAACACAUGGCUAUGCCAAAUCGAAAGAUGACGUAUAUGGCCUGACACCUGCCCGGUGCCGGAAGGUUAAGAGGAGAGCUCAUCAGUAAUGAGAAGGUUUGAAUUGAAGCCCCGGUAAACGGCGGCCGUAACUAUAACGGUCCUAAGGUAGCGAAAUUCCUUGUCGGGUAAGUUCCGACCUGCACGAAUGGUGUAACGAUCUGGGCACUGUCUCGACCAUGAGCUCGGUGAAAUUGUAGUUCCGGUGAAGAUGCCGGGUACCCGCGACGGGACGGAAAGACCCCGUGAACCUUUACUGCAGCUUCGCGUUGUUCCCGGGCACGGGACGUGUAGGAUAGGUCGGAGGCUACGAUUCGGUUUCGCCAGGAAUCGAGGAGCCAUCGUUGAAAUACGACCCUUCUCUUGUCUGGGAUCUAACCCUAGGUACAGGGGACACCGCGUGGUGGGUAGUUUGACUGGGGUGGUCGCCUCCAAAAGCGUAACGGAGGCUUCCAAAGGUACCCUCGGGUUGGUUGGUAAUCAACCUCAGAGUGCAAUGGCACAAGGGUGCUUGACCGGGAGACCAACGAGUCGAUCGGGUGCGAAAGCAGGGCAUAGUGAUCCGGUGAUCCCGCGUGGAAGGGUCAUCGCUCAAAGGAUAAAAGGUACUCCGGGGAUAACAGGCUGAUCGCCGCCAAG